rnacentral:rRNA from 1 species
UACGUAGGGUGCAAGCGUUGUCCGGAAUUAUUGGGCGUAAAGAGCUCGUAGGCGGUUUGUCGCGUCUGCUGUGAAAACUCGGGGCUUAACCCUGGGCCUGCAGUGGGUACGGGCAGACUAGAGUGCGGUAGGGGAGACUGGAAUUCCUGGUGUAGCGGUGAAAUGCGCAGAUAUCAGGAGGAACACCGGUGGCGAAGGCGGGUCUCUGGUACGUGACUGACGCUGAGACGCGAAAGCGUGGGGAGCAAACAGG